rfam:Ixodes scapularis strain Wikel colony gcontig_1108378624968, whole genome shotgun sequence.
CCCUGGUUAGCUCAGUUGGUAGAGCGCUCCACCUGCAAUGAAGAGGUCCCGGGUUCGAUACUCGAACCAGCGG